CUUGGCUUUGAUCUUCUCAGUUGAAACAGAGUGCUGGGCACGACCAUAACCCUAGAGAGAAGAUGACUACUAGUCUGCCUGGCCUUUUGCUUUCCACGCACGAUUUCCUUGCACUCCUUCGUCGGAUCCCCGGAGGGCGGUCCUAAGUGGACUCGAAUCAGCACGUACUUGAAGACGCCGUCCGAGUCGAUGUCCACAUCAGGAAUCUGAGCGAGUUCUUUGCAGCUUUGAGAUCUUGAGUACCAGUUAAAGGAGCUGCAAUGUCGGGAAAUCAGUGAUGCUGCAAAUCAAGCUGCUGCAAGUGGGGCAGCAAAAGAGGAUGCAGUGACGCACCCCGGCUCCACUCCUGGGUCCUAGGGCUUCAGUCCCCUAGCAUAAACCAUUAAAUCCGGUCUUCUCUUCCCCCACA